rnacentral:rRNA from 1 species
CUCUGUGACUCCUACGGGAGGCAGCAGUGGGGAAUAUUGCACAAUGGGCGCAAGCCUGAUGCAGCCAUGCCGCGUGUAUGAAGAAGGCCUUCGGGUUGUAAAGUACUUUCAGCAGUGAGGAAGGCGGAGUCGUUAAUAGCGCAUUCGUUUGACGUUAGCUGCAGAAGAAGCACCGGCUAACUCCGUGCCAGCAGCCGCGGUAAUACGGGAGGGUGCGAGCGUUAAUCGGAAUUACUGGGCGUAAAGCGCAUGCAGGUGGUUUGUUAAGUCAGAUGUGAAAGCCCCGGGGCUCAACCUCGGAAUUGCAUUUGAAACUGGCAGACUAGAGUACUGUAGAGGGGGUAGAAUUUCAGGUGUAGCGGUGAAAUGCGUAGAGAUCUGAAGGAAUACCGGUGGCGAAGGCGGCCCCCUGGACAGAUACUGACACUCAGAUGCGAAAGCGUGGGGAGCAAACAGGAUUAGAUACCCUGGUAG